UACGUAGGCAGCAAGCGUUGUUCGGAGUUACUGGGCGUAAAGGGUGCGUAGGCGGCUUUUUAAGUUUGGUGUGAAAUCUCCCGGCUCAACUGGGAGGGUGCGCCGAAUACUGAGAGGCUAGAGUGUGGGAGAGGAAAGUGGAAUUCCUGGUGUAGCGGUGAAAUGCGUAGAUAUCAGGAGGAACACCGGUGGUGUAAACGGCUUUCUGGACCAUAACUGACGCUGAGGCACGUAAGCAUGGGGAGCAAACAGG
rnacentral:rRNA from 1 species